UGCAGAAUCCCGUGAACCAUCGAGUCUUUGAACGCAAGUUGCGCCCGAGGGACCCUCCCGAGGGCACGCCUGCCUCAUGGGCGUUAGAAGCCCAUCCACGCUCGGCUGCCCGACUAGCGGCAGAGAUGCGGACAUUGGCCCUCCGAACCGCGAGGCGCGGUGGGCCUAAGUGUGCGGCCGUCGUACGUGGCCGGGAGCGGCGAGUGGUGGGCUGCUGCGCACGCCGCCCCGAGCCCCGUAGCGAUGCAGGGCCUUGUACGACCCCCUAACGAGGAGCAAGCCGCUGCGGCUCCGGCCGCGCGGCGCCUUCGGACCGAUACCCCAGGUCAGGCGGGGCUACCCGCCGAGUUUAAGCAUAUAAAUAAGCGGAGGAGAAGAAACUUACAAGGAUUCCCCUAGUAACGGCGAGCGAACCGGGAGAUGCCCAGCCUUAGAAUCGCGGCGGCACUGCCGUCCGA
rnacentral:rRNA from 1 species